UACGUAGGGGGCAAGCGUUGUCCGGAAUCAUUGGGCGUAAAGCGCGCGUAGGCGGCCCGGUAAGUCCGCUGUGAAAGUCAAAGGCUCAACCUUUGAAUGUCAGCGGAUACUGCCGGGCUAGAAGUCCGGAAGAGGCGAGUGGAACUCCUGGUGUAGCGGUGGAAUGCGCAGAUAUCAGGAAGAACACCACAGCGAAGGCAGCUCGCUGGGACGGAACUGACGCU
rnacentral:rRNA from 1 species